CAAGUCGAGGGGCAGCAUGCACUGUAGCAAUACGGUUGAUGGCGACCGGCAAACGGGAUGCGGAACACGUACACAACCUUCCUUCGAGCGGGGAAUAGCCCAGAGAAAUUUGGAUUAAUACCCCAUAGUAUAUUGAAAAGGCAUCUUUUUAAUAUUAAAGAUUUAUCACUUGAAGAUGGGUGUGCGGCUGAUUAGGUAGUUGGCGGGGUAACGGCCCACCAAGCCGACGAUCAGUAACUGGUGUGAGAGCACGACCAGUCACACGGGCACUGAGACACGGGCCCGACUCCUACGGGAGGCAGCAGUAAGGAAUAUUGGUCAAUGGACGCAAGUCUGAACCAGCCAUGCCGCGUGGAGGAUGAAGGUCCUCUGGAUUGUAAACUUCUUUUAUAUGGGACGAAAAAAGAUCUUUCCAGAUCAACUGACGGUACCAUAUGAAUAAGCACCGGCUAACUCCGUGCCAGCAGCCGCGGUAAUACGGAGGGUGCAAGCGUUAUCCGGAUUCACUGGGUUUAAAGGGUGCGUAGGUGGGUUGGUAAGUCAGUGGUGAAAUCCCCGAGCUUAACUUGGGAACUGCCAUUGAUACUAUCAGUCUUGAAUACCGUGGAGGUCAGCGGAAUAUGUCAUGUAGCGGUGAAAUGCUUAGAUAUGACAUAGAACACCAAUUGCGAAGGCAGCUGGCUACUCGGAUAUUGACACUGAGGCACGAAAGCGUGGGGAUCAAACAGGAUUAGAUACCCUGGUAGUCCACGCCCUAAACUAUGGAUACUCGACAUUUGCGAUACACAGCAAGUGUCUGAGCGAAA
rnacentral:rRNA from 1 species